GAUGAACGCUGGCGGCGUGCCUAAUACAUGCAAGUCGAGCGAACAGACGAGGAGCUUGCUCCUCUGAUGUUAGCGGCGGACGGGUGAGUAACACGUGGAUAACCUACCUAUAAGACUGGGAUAACUUCGGGAAACCGGAGCUAAUACCGGAUAACAUGUUGAACCGCAUGGUUCAACAGUGAAAGACGGUCUUGCUGUCACUUAUAGAUGGAUCCGCGCCGCAUUAGCUAGUUGGUAAGGUAACGGCUUACCAAGGCAACGAUGCGUAGCCGACCUGAGAGGGUGAUCGGCCACACUGGAACUGAGACACGGUCCAGACUCCUACGGGAGGCAGCAGUAGGGAAUCUUCCGCAAUGGGCGAAAGCCUGACUGAGCAACGCCGCGUGAGUGAAGAAGGUCUUCGGAUCGUAAAACUCUGUUAUUAGGGAAGAACAAAUGUGUAAGUAACUAUGCACGUCUUGACGGUACCUAAUCAGAAAGCCACGGCUAACUACGUG
rnacentral:rRNA from 1 species